rnacentral:rRNA from 1 species
GAUGAACGCUAGCGGCAGGCUUAAUACAUGCAAGUCGUGGGGCAGCAAGGUUUGUAGCAAUACAGAUGCUGGCGACCGGCAAACGGGUGCGGAACACGUACAGAACCUUCCUUGAGCGGGGAAUAGCCCAGAGAAAUUUGGAUUAAUACCCCAUAGUAUAAUGAAGUGGCAUCACUUUAUUAUUAAAGAUUUAUCACUCGAAGAUGGCUGUGCGGCUGAUUAGGUAGUUGGCGGGGUAAAGGCCCACCAAGCCUGCGAUCAGUAACUGGUGCGAGAGCACGACCAGUCACACGGGCACUGAGACACGGGCCCGACUCCUACGGGAGGCAGCAGUAAGGAAUAUUGGUCAAUGGAGGCAACUCUGAACCAGCCAUGCCGCGUGGAGGAUGAAGGUCCUCUGGAUUGUAAACUUCUUUUAUAUGGGACGAAAAAAAGGGCUUUUCUAAGUCGUCUGACGGUACCAUAUGAAUAAGCACCCGGCUAACUCCGUGCCAGCAGCCGCGGUAA